CUCUGUGUCAUUUUACACAGCGUGGGAAAGUUCUUUGGAAUUUUCUCACGCUGUGUAAAAUGACAGAGUA
rnacentral:miRNA from 1 species